CCUACGGUAGGCAGCAGUGGGGAAUAUUGCACAAUGGGGGAAACCCUGAUGCAGCGACGCCGCGUGUGUGAAGAAGGAAUUCGGUAUGUAAAGCUCUAUCAGCAGGGAAGAAAAUGACGGUACCUGAGUAAGAAGCCCCGGCUAACUACGUGCCAGCAGCCGCGGUAAUACGUAGGGGGCAAGCGUUAUCCGGAUUCACUGGGUGUAAAGGGAGCGUAGACGGCAGUGCAAGUCUGGAGUGAAAGGCGGGGGCUCAACCCCCGGACUGCAUUGGGAACUACCGGGCUGGAGUGCCGGAGAGGUAGGCGGAAUUCCUGGUGUAGCGGUGAAAUGCGUAGAUAUUAGGAGGAACACCAGUGGCGAAGGCGGCCUACUGGACGAUGACUGACGCUGAGGUGCGAAAGCGUGGGGAGCAAACAGGAUUAGAUACCCUAGUAGUC
rnacentral:rRNA from 1 species